AUCAAGACACUUACAAGAAAAAAUGGAGUUCCAUCAAGACAUGCAGAACCAAUUAUUAAUAAAUUGAAAGCCAUAGUUGAAGCCCAUCCAGAGUUGAAGCAAAGAACAAUUCAAGAGGGCGAUGCAUUUGCUGCUGCUUGUGGAGAAAAGGAGCCAAGAGGACGUGUUCGUGCUUUGGGUUUAGGACCAACUCCCCAAGAUGUUGGUACCCCAGGGUUGAAGUGUUACACACCCACAAGACUGCAGAUGGAAGGUUUGGCCCGUAAAAAGGCUGAAUGUGAGAAAGUAGCUCUUCAACAACGCAUAACUGAAUUGGAGCAGCAAAUGCAAGAGGAAAGGGUGGCAAGGGAAUUGCAAGAUGUGGAACUCAUUUCAAAUAAUGGUUCAAAUUCACGACAGAAUGGGAGCCGAAGGUAUGAAGAGCAUGAUGUGGAGGCGCACCAUGACGCUCAAUUUGUAGAAGAUGAAGAUUGUGCAGAAAAUCACAUCAAUCAUCACUGUGAUGAUGGUUGGAAAGGAUGUAAUAUUAUAUGCCAUUAUUGGACCUGAGCAACCUGUGGCUAAGGGAACAAUUGUUUCAACUAAUCCUAACACUUUGCUGGGAGGU